AUGCGCACAACUAGCUCCGCCCCGCGCCCGGCUCUAGCUGUUUCACUCUGGCGGACUGUUCUACGCGUGGGUUAAUGUUGCUUCUCAGAUGCGUCUUGGCGGUGAGAGCAAGCAAUCAGUAUGGAAAUGGAGAAAGGGCUGACCAUGUAUGUCCUCCCCAGGAAGGAGGUCGUGGUGUAGGCGAGCAGAGGCCAGACUCCCGUGGACACUUGCCGCCUGCGUUAUGGAGGCUUAGCUAAUAACCUUGCAGGGGCCUUCAUGCUUUUCCACUCCCUCACCUGUAGGGUUCUGACACUUACCCACGAUUAAAAAAGAUGAGAUUCCAUGAGACUAGAAAUGUAGGAGCAUCUCAGACCUUCACAGAAGGCUCUAUUAGAAGAUCAGAAACAUAACUUUGCUUGUGAGAGUUGAAGCCAGCUGGACUUCCUGGGUUGAGUGGGGACUUGGAGAACUUUUCUGUCUAGCUAAAGGAUUGUAAAUGCACCAAUCAGCAGUCUGUAAAAACAAACCAAUCAGUGCUCUGUGUCUAGCUGAAGGAUUGUAAACACACCAAUCAGCACUCUGUAAAAUGGACCAAUCAGCACCCUGUAAAAUGGACCCAUCAGCAGGAUGUGGGUGGGGACAAAUAAGGGAAUAAAAGCUGGCCACCCCAGCCGGCAGCAGCAACUCACUGGGGUCCCCUUCCAUAAGCUUUGUUCUUUCACUAUUCACAAUAAAUCUUGCUGCUGCUCACUCUUUGGGUCCAUGCUACCUUGAAGAGCUGUAACACUCACCGUGAAGGUCCGAGGCUUCAUUCUUGAAGUCAGCGAGUCCAAGAACCCACUGGAAGGAACCAACUCCAGACAUACUUGUAGUAGCAAAUUAUCAAAAACAUUCAUUGUGUUUUCUGGAAAACAAUUUUUCCCAGAAACACCUGGCAGAAUCAGAGUUCAUUGUGUCAAAAGAAAAAUGUUAGACAAAUUAAAAUAAGCAAAAAACAAUUUGUGAAUUGAGUCCCUCUCCCAACCAUAACAGGUUCAAAGAGACUCCAGUGCUGCCACAUGAUCAAAGAAUUAUGGACAAAAAAAGCAAAUAAAUUAUAGGAAAAGAAAAUGAGAUGAUGCGGUAGUUACUUUUUGAAGGACUACUGAAGCAGGAUAUUUCCCUGACCCCUUCAUGGGACCCACGACAGAGGUUCCUUGUUUAUUCAGCCUGCUGCCCACAACUCCUCAUGGGAGGGAGCACACAAGUGAACAAGGGUGAGGACUGGAGUGCACCAGCACUGGAACAACCCAGCUGCUUCAGCGCUGGUGGGAUCAAACUCCACUCACUUGGACACACUGUGUUCCACCCCUCGUGGGAGGGAGCAUGCAGGUGAGAGGAUGCAGGAGUCAGGGUGAGCACUUUUGGGCUCCAGCAGGAGCAAACUCUGUGCAGGGCCCUGCAGCAGUGACUGAGGGGCUGCCUGUGACUCCCAAAGCCUCAGAGGAUGCGUUACAGUGCCCUUUUAGCUCUGCCAUCCGUAGGUGGCUUAAAUGUAAACAGCUCAGUGCGCCCUUUGCCUUUUCGCAUGAGGCAGCUGCCCUCCACCAGCAAGAGUAAAGGGCCAGUGUCACAGCCUUUUGUAUCUGCACUCAUGGCUCCUGAGCUCUUGUCCUGCAUCCAGGAAAAAUGAGGUUACACAAAAGAAUUGAAGGAUGGUAAAUGUGGGAUAUUUUAUUUCCAGUGAAAGUGGCUUUCAGCAGGAAGGAGAGCAGAAAAGGGGAUGGGCUGGGUAGGUAAUCUUCCCCUGAAGUCCUGCCAUCUCUGGCUGGAUUUUUCUCCAAAGUUACACCGUCAAAAUGUCCCUCUGAAAUCAAGCCACUUCUCUCUGACAUCCAGCCGUAGUCCCUCACGUCCAGUUGAUUCUCCUCUCUGCUGGCUGAGUCUGUGGUCUUCAUAGCACAGGAUGGCGGGCAGGGUGGGCCAUGAGUAGUUUAGGAAAAAGCAACAUUUGAGCAGACAAAAGGGAGAGAAGUUCUCACUUUGGGCUGUGGUUUCAGGCUUUUUGGCUUGAGGGUGGGGUUUUGUCAGGGACCCUCCCUUUUCUGCCUAAAAUUUCUCUGCCUCCUGCCUCUAUCAUUGUAUCACUUGUUUGAAGUAAACCCAUCUGGAAUUACUGAUUUUAACAAAUCACACAGAAUUUCAAACACCUUUCUAUGCAAAUGACUUGUGAAGACAUAGAGUAUAGUAUGCUGUUAACAAACAGCCCAGCAGUGUGCCUUGCACCUUGUAGGUGUACAAAAUAUUGUUAAGUCAAUUUUAUAAAUGAAGGAGGUAACUUUAAAAUGCUACAUCCAUGUUGCAUAAUUUUAUUCAUCGAUCAUUUUGAAUAAAAACAAAAGCCAGAAUAAACCA